GAUGAACGCUGGCGGCGUGCCUAGUACAUGCAAGUCGAGCGAACGGACGAGAAGCUUGCUUCUCUGAUGUUAGCGGCGGACGGGUGAGUAACACGUGGAUAACCUACCUAUAAGACCGGGAUAACUUCGGGAAACCGGAGCUAAUACCGGAUAAUAUUUUGAACCGCAUGGUUCAAAAGUGAAAGACGGUCUUGCUGUCACUUAUAGAUGGAUCCGCGCUGCAUUAGCUAGUUGGUAAGGUAACGGCUUACCAAGGCAACGAUGCAUAGCCGACCUGAGAGGGUGAUCGGCCACACUGGAACUGAGACACGGUCCAGACUCCUACGGGAGGCAGCAGUAGGGAAUCUUCCGCAAUGGGCGAAAGCCUGACGGAGCAACGCCGCGUGAGUGAUGAAGGUCUUCGGAUCGUAAAACUCUGUUAUUAGGGAAGAACAUAUGUGUAAGUAACUGUGCACAUCUUGACGGUACCUAAUCAGAAAGCCACGGCUAACUACGUG
rnacentral:rRNA from 1 species